AAAAAAAAAAAAAAAGUUUAACCCACCUUGGAAGCAAGUCUUAAUUGUGUUGGGUUGGGUCGAGUCAAGUCAGUAGAUAAAAUCCUUUGUUCAAGUCAAUAUUUUCAAGUUGAGUUGGUGGCUCUACAAACCCAUGUGUGAGUCUACUAUCAAGUACAUGGUAGUUAAUAAAUUGAUAGCCAUGGAACACCUUAUGGUUGUUAAUCAUGUUGCACCAUACCCAACCUUACUCAAUAAAUCCCAAGUUCAAUCCACCUUGCAAGCAAGGCUUAACUGAGUUGGUUCAUGUUAAGCGAAUGGAUAA
rnacentral:misc_RNA from 1 species